rnacentral:rRNA from 1 species
GGGGGGGGGGGGGGGGGGGCGGGGGGCGGGCGGGUCGGGGGGGAGGGCCGUUCGGGGUGCGCGGGGGGCGAAGGGGUGAGUAAGGCGUGGGUAACCUGCCCCAGCCUUUGGGAUAAGCCGCGGAACCGGGGGCUAAUACCGGAUACGCCACAGCUUCGCAUGUGGCCUGUUUGGCAGGUUGUUCGGUUUGGGAUGGGCCCGCGGCCUAUCAGCUUGUGGGUGGGGUUGCGGCCUACCAAGGCGACGACGGGUAGCCGGCCUGAGAGGGCGACCGGCCACACUGGGACUGAGACACGGCCCAGACUCCGACGGGAGGCAGCAGUGGGGAAUAUUGCACAAUGGGCGGAAGCCUGAUGCAGCGACGCCGCGUGAGGGAUGACGGCCUUCGGGUUGUAAACCUCUUUCAGCAGGGACGAAGCGUAAGUGACGGUACCUGCAGAAGAAGCGCCGGCCAACUACGUG